CUGUCUUCAGUCUUUGACAGUUAGCAUGCAGGCUGGGUCUGUGCCACCCCUCAGCUGGCUGCUGUAGUUGUAGACGGAAUCUUCUCAUCUCAGAAAGGAUUUGGAGAUCUAUUCUGGGGAAACCCCAUCAUAAAAUCUCAGCACAGUGAUAUUCAGGUGUAAAGAUAAGGUAGGAGCUGGGGCCAGCUGAGAGCAACCAGCAUCUAGGCUCAUCGCUCCUGAAGAAGGCCCACAUGGAUAUAAAUAGGUGGUGUUUACAUCUUACCAUCUUACUGGACUCUUCCUGUGAGGCUCUUCACAUCCCUUUAAGAAGAGCAGCAUUUCCCUCGUGUGAAUGUAGAGGUAAGCUCAGCUCCCUGUUUGCCGGGAGUAUCUAAAGCAGUGGUUCUUACCCUGUGGGUUGAGACCCUCAGAGGGGUCGCAUCUCAGAUGAUAUCCUGCAGUCAGAGAUCCUGCACAUCAGAGAUCCUGCAAUCAGAGACCCUGCACAUCAGAGAUCCUGCAGUCAGAGAUCCUCCAGUCAGAGAUCCUGCACAUCAGAGACCCUGCACAUCAGAGAUCCUGGCUGAUGCUUACCACAAUGCCAAAGGAACUGUAUUAAAGGGUUGCAGCAUUAGGAAGGUUAAAAAUCACUGGAAAAAGGCAAAUGUCUGAACAAUAACUGUUUGUCUUUGAAGGCCACAUAGUCCAGUAAAACGUGACAUUGACCCAUUUCAGAUGACUUUGACCCGACUUGUGAAAUAUUAACCUUGACAUUAUUGUGGUACAGCACAUUCUCCUCUGAGGGCCACUACCCACUCUAAAGAUACUCUGAAUCAAUACAAGUCGAAGGAAACUUGCCCAGAAAAACACACAUGCGACUUCCAGGUCCUCCUUGAAAGGAGUCAAGGGAAGAUGAAGAAUUUUGCUUCUUUCAACCAUAAAUAUUAGUUUCUUUACCCCAU
rnacentral:lncRNA from 1 species